rnacentral:rRNA from 1 species
GUGGGGAAUUUUGGACAAUGGGCGAAAGCCUGAUCCAGCCAUGCCGCGUGCAGGAUGAAGGCCUUCGGGUUGUAAACUGCUUUUGUACGGAACGAAAAGACUCCUUCUAAUAAAGGGGGUCCAUGACGGUACCGUAAGAAUAAGCACCGGCUAACUACGUGCCAGCAGCCGCGGUAAUACGUAGGGUGCAAGCGUUAAUCGGAAUUACUGGGCGUAAAGCGUGCGCCGGCGGUUAUAUAAGACAGAUGUGAAAUACCCGGGCUAUAGCUGGGAACUGCAUUUGGGACUGUAUAGCUAGAGUACGGUAGAGGGGGAUGGAAUUCCGCGUGUAGCAGUGAAAUGCGUAGAUAUGCGGAGGAACACCGAUGGCGAAGGCAAUCCCCUGGACCUGUACUGACGCUCAUGCACGAAAGCGUGGGGAGCAAACAGGAUUAGAUACCCCUGUAGUCC